rnacentral:lncRNA from 1 species
CUAGUAGAAUCCAUGCGUCUUCACAUGGUGUGCUGCGUGUGUGCAACGUGCCAAGGGAUUAUGUCCUGACGCUAAUGGGUGCCUAGACUACGGGCACAAACCACAUGGUAGAGUCGUAUCCUACCUCUCUUCUUGGCGUUGGGUUUUUUCCUUUAGAUAGCAUUUUGAGAUCUAUACAAAUGGAAGCGAUGUCUAUUUCUCCAU